UUUAAAGUUGCUUGUUGGUUUUGAUUUUUACUUUAUUAUAGUUAUUCUUUUUCCUGGUCCCUUAUUUAGGGUUUCUAGAUUCCUGCUAUGAGUGAGACCAUCCGGUAUUUUUCUUUCUGGCUUAUUUUGCUGAGCAUGAUCCCUUCCAGCGCCAUCCAUGUUGCUGCAAACUGCAUAUGUUUAUCUUUUUUGAAUGCUGAGUAAUAUUCCAUGGUGCAUAUGGACCACAUCUUCUUGACCAGUCAUCUAUUUUUGGGCAUUUGGGCGGUUUCCAAAGCUUAGCUAUUGUAAACAGUGCUGCUCUAAACAUAGGGGUGCAGGUGCCCUUUGGAAUGGAUGUUUCUGUGUCCUUUGGGUAAAUACCUAGGAGUGGAAUUGCUGGAUCCUAUGGAAGCUCCAUCUUUAGCAGGUUGACCCAAAGCAGUGAGAGUGAAGGCAAAGAUAAACAGCUGGGACUACAUCAAACUAAAGAGCUUCUGCACAGCAAAAGAGACAGUAACCAUAACAAAGAGACACCCCACCGACUGGACUGGGAGAACAUUUUUGCACACAACACUGAUGAUAAAGGACUGAUCACAAAAAUCUACAAAGAGCUGAAGACACUCAACAAAAAGAACGUAAAUAAUCCAGUCAAAAAAUGGGCAGAAGAGCUAAAAAGAAAUUUCUCCAAAGAGGAAAUGCAAAUGGCCAACAGGCAUAUGAAAAAAUGUUCAACAUCACUUGCAAUCAGGGAAAUGCAAAUCAAAACUACCAUGAGAUACCAUCUCACACCAGUGAGAAUGGCACAUAUUAAAAAAACUAGCAACAACAAAUGUUGGCGAGGGUGUGGAGAAAAAGGAACCCUCCUGCACUGCUGGUGGGAGUACACACUGGUCCCACCACGACGGAGAGCUGUGUGGAGGCUCCUCAACCUGCUAAAGAGACUCGGGCUUUAAGGUCACCUUCUAAUGUGCGUGCCGUGUAACCAGAGCGUCGGAGGAAGAGCUAAACUGUGAAUUCUAACAUCAUGUGUAGGACAUAGUUGAAAUGGCCCCAAGGGCCCCGGGGUCAGGACUGGUCAUCGUGGACGUGUCGCCCAGCUUCCCGGGACUCAGUUUCCGGUGUGUGAAGGAGCAGUAAUUACAGAGCCUGUGGGGGAGGCUGAGAUGGCAAUGUGAGAAAGUGCCCUGAGCAAAAAGCCUGGUCAGGCUGCCGUGAUUACAGCCCUGCUGUUAAUUUCUCCGUGUGGAAGCGCAACUGCUAACAGCAGCGUCCGGGGCCGGGAAAGCACUAUCUGUAAGAUUUGUGAGGAGCUGAGAAGAUGAAAGGGCUCUCAGCGGCGUCUUCCCAGGAGUCAGAUCUGAUCCCAGGAGUGACUCUUCAUCUGAGAGGACUUGCAUCUGCUUGACAAACCGCAGCCAACAGAGCUUGUUUACGAUUUCCAGGUGUCUCCACCAGGAUCCUCUCUUCAUCCAUGUGGGCCUUACUGAACGUAUCCUGCUUGGCCGCCUCCCUGGUGGCGCAAGGGGUUAAGCGUCAGCGCUGUGAAGCUGGCCACAGCCUCUGCAGCCUGAGUUCGAUCCCCGGCCAGGGACACACCCAUGUGGUGCAGCAGACCUCUCCUGAGUGACUCGCCUGCUGCUCCCCUCAGCAGUGGAUUUCAGUGCAUCCGCCUGUUCUGCUCCCCACUCUGUCUCUGGGGAGUCCUCUCACCCCCAAACCUCUGGUCUACACCCUGGCUCUUGCAUG